CCUACGGGCGGCAGCAGUGGGGAAUAUUGGACAAUGGGGGCAACCCUGAUCCAGCCAUGCCGCGUGUGUGAAGAAGGCCCUCGGGUUGUAAAGCACUUUCAGUGAGGAAGAACGCCUGGUGGUUAAUACCCAUCAGGAAAGACAUCACUCACAGAAGAAGCACCGGCUAACUCCGUGCCAGCAGCCGCGGUAAUACGGAGGGUGCGAGCGUUAAUCGGAAUUACUGGGCGUAAAGCGCGCGUAGGUGGCUUGAUAAGCCGGUUGUGAAAGCCCCGGGCUCAACCUGGGAACGGCAUCCGGAACUGUCAAGCUAGAGAGCAGGAGAGGAAGGUAGAAUUCCCGGUGUAGCGGUGAAAUGCGUAGAGAGCGGGAGGAAUACCAGUGGCGAAGGCGGCCUUCUGGACUGACACUGACACUGAGGUGCGAAAGCGUGGGUAGCAAACAGGAUUAGAUACCCUAGUAGUC
rnacentral:rRNA from 1 species